AACGAACGCUGGCGGCAUGCUUAACACAUGCAAGUCGAACGGACCCUUCGGGGUCAGUGGCGCACGGGUGAGUAACGCGUGGGAACCUGUCGAGAAGUGGGGAAUAACCACUGGAAACGGUGGCUAAUACCGCAUGUGCCCCGAGGGGCAAAGGUCGAAAGGCCGCUUUUCGAGGGGCCCGCGUCCGAUUAGCUUGUUUGUGGGGUAAGGGCCUGCCAAGGCUGCGAUCGGUAGCUGGUCUGAGAGGAUGAUCAGCCACACUGGGACGGAGACACGGACCAGACUGUUACGGGGGGCAGCAGUGGGUAAUAUUGGAAAAUGGGCGAAAGCCUGAUCCAGCAAUGCCGCGUGAGUGAAGAAGGCCUUAGGGUUGUAAAGAUCUUUCACCCGCGACGAUGAUGACGGUAGCGGGAGAAGAAGCCCCGGCUAAUUCCGUGCCAGCCGCCGCCGUAA
rnacentral:rRNA from 1 species